GACGAACGCUGGCGGCGUGCUUAACACAUGCAAGUCGAACGGAAAGGCCCUGCUUUUGUGGGGUGCUCGAGUGGCGAACGGGUGAGUAACACGUGAGUAACCUGCCCUUGACUUUGGGAUAACUUCAGGAAACUGGGGCUAAUACCGGAUAGGAGCUCCUGCUGCAUGGUGGGGAUUGGAAAGUUUCGGCGGUUGGGGAUGGACGCGCGGCUUAUCAGCUUGUUGGUGGGGUAGUGGCUGACCAAGGCUUUGACGGGUAGCCGGCCGGAGAGGGUGACCGGCCACAUUGGGCCUGCGAUACGGCGCAGACUCCUACGGGAGGCAGCGGUGGGGAAUAUUGCACAAUGGGCGGAAGCCUGAUGCAGCAACGCCGCGUGCGGGAUGACGGCCUUCGGGUUGUAAACCGCUUUCGCCUGUGACGAAGCGUGAGUGACGGUAAUGGGUAAAGAAGCACCGGCUAACUACGUG
rnacentral:rRNA from 1 species